rfam:Prevotella sp. oral taxon 299 str. F0039 plasmid, complete sequence.
GGGGCUAAACUUAGUAACCCCUGUGUAGAAGUGUUAAUAGUUGAUGUUUAAGGCCAGACACAACGGUUAGUGAAUC